rnacentral:rRNA from 1 species
CCCUUAGAUGUUCUGGGCCGCACGCGCGCUACACUGAUGAAUUCAACGAGUUUCAGAAUGUGUUUGGCUUUCGGGUCGGCACUGCACCUUGGCCGAGAGGCCCGGGUAAUCUUGUAAACGUUCAUCGUGAUGGGGAUAGAUUAUUGCAAUUCUUAAUCUUCAACGAGGAAUUCCUAGUAAACGCAAGUCAUCAGCUUGCAUUGAUUACGUCCCUGCCCUUUGUACACACCGCCCGUCGCACCUACCGAUUGAAUGGUCCGGUGAAAUCCUCGGACCGUGGCUUUGCGUGGCCUUCGGGCUAGGCGCUGCUAUGGGAAGUUGAUUAAAUCUUACCACUUAGAGGAAGGAGAAGUCGUANCA